rnacentral:lncRNA from 1 species
UAUAUCAGCUGUGCUGUCAGCUGUUCCAUUUCGCGUGGUGUCGGACCUGAGGAUGGUAGCUCGAAAUUGACGUCUCCUUUUUUGAAAUUCCACAACCAAUUUCGUGUGCUUGGACAUGGAUUUUUUGAAUAAAAUCCAUGUUAAGUUGUGAAAGGAGAAGUAUGGCUUGGUUUCACCAGCACGUUUUCAUCUCCGUUAGGCAAAUACACCCAUUUUGGUAGCAAAGGUGCUACAUAAAGAAAGUAUUUAAAUUCAUGCAGGUCUUUCAUCUCUGGGAUGUACCUGAUAUGCUGUGGUAGAUGCAGAAUCAUUCUGUGAUAAAAAGGAAUGCCAUCAAUGCUCUGUUGUCAGUGUAAUAAAAGAUUAUUAAUAUCAUAUUUGCAUUGGUAAAUUAUUAGCUCACAAGCAAUAAACCAAGAGUAGUCAAAGAUCA